GGGCCCGCACAAGCGGUGGAGCAUGUGGCUUAAUUCGAGGCAACGCGAAGAACCUUACCUGGUCUUGACAUGCCCGUCAUAGUUUUCCGAAAGGAAUUCGUCAGUUCGGCUGGACGGUGCACAGGUGCUGCAUGGCUGUCGUCAGCUCGUGUCGUGAGAUGUUCGUUAAGUCCGGCAACGAGCGCAACCCUCGUUCCUAGUUGCCAGCGGGUAAUGCCGGGGACUCUAGGAAGACAAACCUCGUGUAGAGGUGGGAAGGUGGGGACGACGUCAAGUCAGUAUGGCCCUUACGACCAGGGCUGCACACGUGCUACAAUGCCCAGCACAAUGGGAUGCAACGCCGCGAGGUU
rnacentral:rRNA from 1 species